GUAAGCAGUACACCUCCAUGGCCUCUGUCUGCGUCAAUUCCUGCCUCCAGGUUCCUGCCCUGAUUGAGUUCCUGUCCUGACUUCCUUUCAGGAUGAUCCGUGAUAUGGUAGCAUCACAUGGAUAAACCCUUUCUUCCCCAGAUCACUGUGGUCAUGGUGUUCAUCAUUGCAAUAAUAACCCUAAGACUAAUUGGUGCCAGCAUAGUGGGGUAUUGCUGUGAGAGAUGUGACCAUGUUGUGUUUGGGAGGAUUGUGGGAAGACAUUGACUAUUGAAAUCUCAGCAGCCUGUUCUGUAGGAGCUUGGAAGAUAAGGCUGUUGAAGGCAAUGCAGACGAUGGAGGCCUGACUUGUGAAGUUUCGGAGAGAAGCAAAGACUUUACUAGACCUUUUGUAUGAAGAGUCUGUGAUGUCUGACUGAUUAGCAAGAGACCAGACCUGCUAAAGUAAAACCUAUGCUUUGCUGGAGCUAAAGAAUCAGCUGUGAUUAAGAGGAGAGCAUCACUGAGGUGAAGUCUUUUGGAAAGUGUUUCCUCAGGGGCAGCACACACAAGCUGUGUUCCAGAAGCGGUCGAGGCUGUACUUUCUGUGGGCAGCAGAACCUGGUAGUGUAAGAGUCUUCCAGUGAUACUGAUUUUGAAGGCAUGAAGGAGUCACGGUGAGCAGCUGAGGCUUGGCAUUGCGAGGCAGGGCUGGAGUCCCUGAAGGGAGCCCAGGAGAGGCUAUUGGUGAAAGCGCAGCCCAGUUGCAGCAGAAGACCCCAGCAGAGAUGCCAGGACCAUGGGAUGACCACCAAGAACAGCAGUAGCAGUGGAAUGGAGCCAGCUGGAGCCCGGGAGACAAGCUGUGUGCGCUGCAGAGGACGGAGCUGGAGAGGGCGGAGCUGGAGAGGUGACCCAUGCCCUCUGGAGGAGCUCAGAAGACGCUUGCGGUGGCUGCAGACAUUCCUUGCUGUCUUGUUUCCCCAGUUUUGCCCUUGUGGUCACAGUGCCAGCUCUGCUGUGUGCCUGUCUCAGACGGUCCACGAUCUCCUUUCUACAAGGAUACCCAGCAUCACGUUCCCGGAUUAGUGAAGAUAGUAUCCCUUCUCACGGUCCUUGAUCCCACCUGGAAUCUCUUGUUGUAAUACACGGUGAUAUUGGUCAGUUCCAGAGGUGGUGGGGGGAUAGUUUGGAGGGGAAUAUUUUUCAGCUGAAUGUCACACAUAAUUCAACCUUAACAUUUAUUUACCUUUAUAUGUGUUUGUGUGUGCCUGUGUGUACACAUGUGUGCAGGUGUGCAUCCCCAUGUGGAGGCCAGAGGCAUUUCCCCCUAUCGCUGUUUGCCCUAUUUUCUUUAGUGGGGUCUCUCACUGGGAGCCUGACAGUUUUAAGCUAGCCUAGUGGCCUUAAGUCUAUGAUUCUCUUAUCUCUGCUCUGCUCGGUGCACAAAGACACAUCCGACUUUUACAUGGGUGCUGGGGAUCCAAACUCAGGUCUUCAUGUUUGCACAGCAAGCGCUCCUACUCACUUAGCCAUCUAGCCAGGCCUUCCUAGUACAUUUCAUACUUCUUCACGAUGGUAAAGCUCAUGUGGGGAGGGUUUUUCUUUCUUACCUUAAAAAUGUAAGAUAGUUUAUCCUCUCUAUCUGCGAGAACUGUGAGAUGGGGAAGCUCACUGAAAGUCUUUUUGAUUUAAGGUGGGAUUUAGUACACAUGAAGAAUAUUUUUGCUGCAUGUGUGUAUGGCUUUUCUGUUCCCUGAUUUCCCAGGAGUUAUGAAGUGUAAUGGCUUGUAAGUCUCUUUAAUUGGAAGACUUGUUAUACAAUUGUGUAUGCUACUGUUCAUACCUCAUACUCCAAUAAACUAUAUUAAUCUA